UACAGAGGGGGCGAGCGUUGUUCGGAAUUACUGGGCGUAAAGGGCGCGUAGGCGGCCCGCUAAGUCAUACGUGAAAUCCCUCGGCUCAACCGGGGAACUGCGUGUGUUACUGGCGGGCUUGAAUUCGGGAGAGGGAUGCGGAAUUCCAGGUGUAGCGGUGAAAUGCGUAGAUAUCUGGAGGAACACCGGUGGCGAAGGCGGCAUCCUGGACCGAGAUUGACGCUGAGGCGCGAAAGCCAGGGGAGCAAACGGG
rnacentral:rRNA from 1 species